UACGGAGGGUGCGAGCGUUGUCCGGAAUCACUGGGCGUAAAGCGCUCGCAGGUGGUCCGCUGCGUCGUGCGUGAAAGACCCCGGCUCAACUGGGGGGUGUCGUGCGAUACGGGCGGACUGGAGGCCAGUAGGGGGAUGCGGAAUUCCGGGUGUAGUGGUGGAAUGCGUAGAGAUCCGGAGGAACACCAGUGGCGAAGGCGGCGACCUGGGCCAAUACUGACGCUGAGGUGCGAAAGCGUGGGUAGCAAACAGG
rnacentral:rRNA from 1 species